GAAAAGAAGAACUCAGAGAGUCUUCUAUGCCACCAUAAGAACUAGGGUUUCCCCCCUGGGGGAGAUAGCAGCCACUGGGAGAUUCCAAGGAGAGGAAUGACACCGGCUAAUACUUGAACAAGAUCACUCCAUCUUGUCUUCUCUGUUGCUCCUGGACUGCAGGGGACAAGUGUGAAAGCAGGGAGACCAGCUGGGGAGCUACCACAACAGACGGAAGAACCAGAUCCAAUGAUAUGUGUAAGAAGAAUCAUUUCAGUGCAAUUGAAAGAACAGAUGCACAAUUGACUUUGUCAAGUGAUGGAAUGACCCGUCUCAAAUAAAGCCAAUGAAGUUGGUGAUGGUGAAGAUGAUGAUGAUGUUGAUGAUGAUGACACUAGUGAACAAAGGCUGGGCGAAGAGUCUGGGUCAACUGCAGGGAUGAACACUUCACAUCCACCAUUUCAUUUAAUCUUCACAACAACCCUCUGACAUGGCCAUUCUUUAUCUUCAUAUCAUCGUGAACUAAGUAAAGAUCAAAGAGUUUAAGAAACACAUAGCUGUGUGUAUCAGAGCCCAGACUUGAAGCUGGGCCUGUAGCUAGUGUUUGUGCACCAAACAUAGUCACUGUCCUGUCUCAUGAGGGAAGGAGGGUCCUGUCACUAUGGUCAUGCAAGCAGAGGACAGAGGAUGCUAAAUGGGUCACUGAGCUUCAACCAGAAUUCUUGAUCGCUGAGAAUUCCCUCAGCCAGAGACUCCAAGAGGUGAGGAACCUGCAUCUGUGUGAGGCCCAGGUCAUGUGGUAUGGCCCAUCUCCAGAGACUCUUCCUGGCCCCCUUUGCUUCCCUGCCCUCCUUUGUCACCCAAGUCACAAACGAGCUCAACAUUCCCUAGCUAGGAACAGCCCCACUGCUGGAGCAGCCAGUGACCAGCCCCAUCGGAACUCUUCCCCACUUCCCUGGAAUGUCUCCCCCAGCUAUACCUUUGAGCACCUUCCACUGGGCCUCCCAGGCUGCCAUUGCAGUUUCCUCUCCCUCCCUGAGAAUCCCCAUGGGAGAGGAAUAACAGAGCAUCAGGAAGGCGUUUCAAAUAGCAUCAUGUCACAGGAAGAGUGUUGGCCUGUGGUCAAACACAUGCAGAUCUGAACUUCAGUUCAACUCCAUUUUGUAACCUUGGUCCAAUUGCCCACUGGGUCUUGGACUCAUCAUUUGAAAAGUGCAGAGUUGCUCUUCAAGCUGAAACUUCAGCCCAAAUCAACUUUUACUCUCAUAAUGAUGAAAAGGAAACUGGCAGCUGCUUGGGGCAUAACAACCAACACAACCUUUGAUCUGAUCUUUUUCUGCAUCCUCACUUCUUUAUGACUCCUCCAUUACUUAGAGAUUGAAGGCUGGAGUGCAGUGGCAUGAUCACAGCUCACUGCAGACUUGAUCCCCUGGGGUCAGGAGGUCCUCGUACUUCAGCCUCCCGAGUAGCUGAGACAGACGACUACAGCAUGGAGUGAGGAUAGAAUAUAUUAUCAAUAGCUACAGCUAUUUCUAUCGAUGAUGAAGUUUCCAGACCUCAGUGCGCAAGAUACUGAUCUACAUCAUCCACUGACUCAUUCAACAAACAUGUGCUGAGUACUGGGCCCUGAGCUAGACACAGAGAUAAACGGAACAUAACCCUGGAUCUCAAAGAUCUUCCAUCCACUGGAGCUGAUAAUGCAUUGUAUCAUUUAAGGAUGCUCUUGGCUGCAAGUAACAGGAAACCUCAACUCAAAAUAGCUGAACAAUGAGGACACUUACAGAAAUGCAAAUUUACAGGAGUGGUGAGCUUCAAGGAUGGCCCAUUUGGUGACUCAGUAAUGGCCAAGAAUCCAGGUGCCAUCUGGUUGCUUCACUCUGCUUUCCAUAAUUUUGACCUCAUCCUAAGAUAGCAUGCACUCACAAUUGCAGGAUGGCUCCUAGUAGCAGUUUUGGCUACAUGCUUUUCUAUUCAUGCAUGACUGGAGAGAGUAAGCUUGGCCUCUCAUAGGUCUCUUGGUGCUAAGAGGAACUUUCCCGGAAGCUUCUAACAAACUUCUCUUUAUGUCCUGCUGGACAUAGUUGGGGCACAGAUCCCUUACUAAACCAGUGUGGAAUGGGACCCAUCAGCCUGUACCUCUGCCCCUGAAUUCCUUUCCUUUAUCUGUUCCUCCCUACCUGAGUGAAUGGGACCACCAUUCUCCAGUUGCUCAGCCAAAAACCACGAAGUCAUUCUUAACUCCUGCCCUUGAUCCAAUCUCCUCAACUAAUCCACCCUCACUCAUCCCUGACUGUUAGGGUUGAAUUGUAUCUAACCUCACACCUCCAGAUUUAUAUACUAAAGUCCUAACUCCCCAAACCUCAGAAUGGGUCCUUAUUUGAAAUGCGGUCAUUGCAGAUAUAAUUAAUUAAGAAGAGGUCAUAUUGGAGUAAGGCCCACCCUACUCCAAUAUGACUGGUGUCCUUUAUAGAAAGAGGACACAAAGACAGACACUGGUACAGAGUGAAUUUUGUUCCCCUCCAAACUUCAUAUGUUGAAGUCCUAACCCCUAGUACCUCAGAAUGUGACCUUAUUUGGAGACAAUCUUUACAAAGCAAAUAACAUUAAAAUGAGGUCACUAGAGUGGGCCCUAAUCCAACAUGACUGGUACCCUGAUAAAAAGGGGAAAUGUGGAGAUAGACAGGCACAGGAGGAAGAUGAUGUAAACAGGCAUGGGGAGAAGAUGGCCAUCUGUGAGCCAGAGAGAGAAGGCUGGAACUGAGCCUUCCUUCAAAGCCCUCAGAAGGAAUCCACUCUGCCAACACCUUGAUCUUGGACUUCUGACCUCUAAAACUAUGGAAUAACACAUUUCAGUUCUUUCAGUCACUCAGUCCAUGGUACUUUGUUACAGCAGCUCUAGAAAAGUAAUAUAUUGCCUAGCUUCCAAAAGGCUUCUCACCACUUCCACCAUUCCACCACUCAACCGGUCCAAACUGCCAUCCCCUCACUGGGGCUACCAGGACACUGAUUCCUGAGCCUUCAUCAGGGUGCUACCAGCAGCCUUCAGAAUGGCCACUAUGUUCUUUCUUAGUGGCUGGACAUUUACCUGACAUUGACCAUUUAGUCAAUGUCAAGGCUUUAUGUCCUCUAUUGGACAUUUAUCUGCCUUUUAGGCUCCCCAGCAUCAGAAGCCCUCUUCCCGCCUGGGAGACUUUCCUGCCUCAGAAUCCUGAGUGGGGAAACAGAGGACACAUAACUACAGAAGCCAAACAUGCCAGACACCCGCUCUCCCAGCAUCCUCUGCAGCUGGAAGUGGACAUGUGACCAAGGCUCAGCCAAUCAGAUGCUGGAACUUUGAUCAAGGUGCUACUGGGGCUAAGACAUGGGGCUGAGGAGGAUUCUCCAGCAGCAGAGGGAGCUCUGCUGGGAUUGGGUUUGGGGGCAGCAGCAGGGGAGCUGCAAUGUCCUGUGCCAGCGGUGCAGUCAAUGGCAGUGGUGGCUGCAGCGGAGCCCAUAGGACCAGCUCUGGGAGUGAUUUAGGGUAGUAUCUCCAGCUACAGAGCUUCCAGGCCUGGCUCUCCAGCCCUCCCACUGAUCCUGUGAGCAACCCACUCUUCUCAACAACUUUUUUGGCUUUAGUUGUUCCUUACAACUAUGGAAAUACAGAAACUCUAGCAAAGCAUAUAAAUAAUCUCACUUCACCCUCACGACAACCCUAGUGGUAAAAGCCCUCAUUUACAAACAAGGGGCCUGAGAGUUAUAUAACCCACCCACAGUCACGGCUUAUAUGCACUGGGAGGCUUUUGUGGUGGAGCUGCCAAACUUCAGGGCACAAAUACAACUGCUCCACAAACUGAACUCUUGAACUUAUGAUUAAGAUGUGAAAGUUAAGCAGAUAAACCUAAUGGUGCAUUUAUUGAUUUAAGAGUAAAUAUUGGCUGGGUGCAGUAGCUCAUGCCUGUAAUUCCAACACUUUGGGAGGCCAAGGCGGGCAGAUCACCUGAGGUUAGGAGUUUGAGACUAGCCUGGCCAACAUGGUGAAACCCCAUCUCUACUAAAAAUAGAAAAAUUAGCUGGGUGUGGUGGUGCACGCCUCUAAUCCAAGCUACUCUGGAGGCUGAGGCUGGGGAAUAUCUUGAACCCUGGAGGCAGAGGUUGCAGGGAGCCAAGAUUGCACCACUGCACUCCAGCCUGGGGGACUGAGCGAGACUCCAUCUAAAACAAAAAAAAAAAGAGUAAAUAUCAACUAUAUCAACUAAGCCUUUGCUUGGGCUGGAUACUCCGUCAGACCGUGGUGAAUACAGCAGCAACCACCCCCAAGGAGCACAGAGUCUAGUGGGAGAAACGGUGAUGAUUGCUAAGCGCAAGGAUUAGAGGGGCCACAGCAAGACAGGGGGUAGAGGCUGCCCCAAGAACUACUGCAAGUAUGUACAGAGUAAAGACCCUUCAGAGAAGCUGGCAUAAGUAAUGAGUAUCCAGGACUUCACAGACACCCCUCCUGCCACCUGAUAAACAGGAGACCUCCACAUGUGCAAGGUCAUUCUUGCACGGGAACUCGCUCCCCAUGGCACUCUUAUAGUAAUUCAAGCAAUUGCAGCUGUCUUGCAAGGAGUCAGGCUAAUACCCACCCUGGAAGACCUCAGUAAUGACUGGCUUCCUGGAAUUAAUGUAAGGAAAUGAAAAGGAUGCUGAUUGGGAGGAAAUUUUGUCUUUUCCUUUGUGUUGCACUGCAUUCAGGAGCCUGGUGGGAAAAGAGAGGGUUUUCAGCUCACCCACUACCAAGCAUUGCUUUGGGAGUCUGUGGAAGUUUCUUACUGUGACGUUGGGAAAUGGCUGACAGAAGCCUCUAUAGACUCUGGAGGGGCCAGAAGACUUGCUGCAUAGCCUAGGCCCUCUGCAGGAACACUUUUCUCAAAAGUUCCCUGAAAGCUGUUUGUAAGCCAAUGCUUUUGGCAACUGAACGUUUGUCUUCCAGGUCUGAAUUCAGCAAUAGCCCAGGUGAAAGGCCUUGUUACCACAAGGCUGAAGCCAGUGAUGAAGUUUGCUCAGAGAAUUCACUGCACUAACAUUCCCCAAGCUUGAGAUUUGUGAACCUCACCUAUGGCAAAACAUGACUGGUCACGCAUGAUACAGAAUGGGUGCUUAAAUAAGAAUUCGUUUUGAGUUUCUGCUGUGUGGCAGUAACCAUAUAAUAAUAAAACAGGUAACCCACACAUCAUAGUUACAAUAUGCUGUGUACUAUUCUAAGAACUGGAAGCAUACUGACUCACUUCUUACCCUCCACAAGGGUACUAUUUGUUACCUCUGUUUUGGGCAGAUGUGGUAUCUGAGCCACAGAGCCACAAGGGGCCCUCCCAAGCUCACACCAUUGGCAUGCGAUGUCACCAGGACUCAGCCCCAGGGAGCAGGGAUCCAGAGUCCAUCUCUUAACCAUUACUUUUUUCCAACUCUAAGUGUAGAAAAUAUAAAGAUGAUGAUAUCAAUACCUCUGUUUUAGGGGAGAAGAGGAGACAUGGAAUGAAGAUUGGUUGACUGCUGAGCAUGUAUCAGACAUUUGGAUAUCUCAUCUCAUUCAACCCUUGUAGCCAUCCUGAGAGGUUUCAUUCACAACAGAGAAGUCUGGAGUGGAGAAACACAUCCCAUAGCCAUGCCAAAGAUGGUAGAACUGCAGGGCCUGCUAGACCUCACAGUGCUCUCCUCUUCCUGGACAUACUGCCAGGCCACCUUACCCAGUUCCUUGCAUCUAGGUGGGGCCAUAUGACUACUUCUCAAGCAAGGAGUGUAAGUACAAGGGACAUGUGUGACCUCCACCAAGAUGCUGAGAAUGUGUUUGCCUGCUCCACGCUUGCUCCUGUCAGCUGGCCAGCCACAGAGGAACUAGCAGAGGACUCCAAAGUCCUAGAGAAUGGUGGAACCACUUCACUUAAGGAACCUGGGUCCCUGAAUGGCUUCAUGGAGCAGAGUGUUCCUGCUCAUCUCCUUCAAAUGAGGUGAUAUAAAUGGGAAUUUUCAUUGUGUUAAGCCACUGAGAUACAGGGCUUGUUUAUUAUAGCAGCAAGUUUGCCCUGCUGACACAAUCAACCUAACUACAGAGCCCAUGCCAUCACAAUUGCACUGUGACCUGAGGCUUCAAGAAGGAGGAGAGAUUUAGGCCAAGUCAUGAAGGCUUGGAGAUAUAAACCUUUACCUAGAGCUUUCCUUUUAUGUGUUGGGAGAACUCGAUCCUGUUUGAAGAAAACAAUCUGCAAUAAAAAUUUGCUUUAAGACC